AUUUUAUUUGCUCCUUUUUUCAGUGUUGGUUGUAUCAUGUAUGGACAGUGGAUGUAUAUAAGACAUAUCUUAGCUUGUACCUAACAGAGAAUUAUGUGAAAUGGGAAACGUACCUGUUAUAGUUUGUUUGACAACCUUGGUUUGGUCGCAAAAAUGGAGUUAGGAGCCAUCUCUUUGACGGAUACCCGCUGUCCCCUAGCAAAUGCGUGUGAAGAGGGAUUCUGUUCUGGUCAAACAAUGACUUGAGUCCACUCUCGUUCAAGAUCCUUGAGUCAUGUGUUGACCCUGGCCAUUUCGCUACGACAUCAAUUAUCUUGUGGAAUGGAUCAAAGACGACCUGUGUGUUGAUGCUGUGGUAAUGAUGUCUGUUGACAUACUCGUUUUCGUAGUCAGAAGGAGCGAUAAUUUGUACAUGUGUGCCAUCGAUGGCCCCAGCAAUUCCAGGAAAUCCGGCGAUUUUGAAGAACUCUUCUUGAUUUUUGCGAAUUUCGUGAACAUUAAGUGGGAAUUUUAUAAACUGGGCACAAAUUUGUGGAGAAGAGAGACUUCUAAGAGUGGCAGUAAUUGCCCUAGAAACGGUGGGCUGCGAGACACCCAUGUCGUCUCCAUUGCACAACUGCAUUUUCCCUGUGGCUAGAAAUCUCAGUGUUAGUAAAAUUUUCUGCAGUGGAGAAAUUGCACAGUUUCUACGUGAACCACUCAUAAGUUCAUUUCCAAUCAACCCCUCUAAAAAGUGGAUACCAGCGGAAUCAAACCUAUACCUCUCAACUAGUUCAGCGUCACUGUACUCUGCCAAACAGUCUUUUCUUUUUCGAAAACAUCUUCUUUGUGCUCCGAUGGCAGCCAUUUUGAUUUUGAACUUAAGUUUUUCUUAGAACUUUAAGACACCUCAAGAGGACUCUUAGAUUUAAGUAUUGCUUAAGAUUUUUCUUAGGCAUAAGUUGUUUUAUGAAUAAAACUUAAGUUUAAAACAAAUUCUUAGCG
rnacentral:sRNA from 1 species